UUUGAUUUGAAACCAAGAGAAGCAAUGCGGGGGGUGGUCAGGCACCACGGCGUCGGCGUGGUGGCGCGGAUCACCGGCGGCCGCGGUGUCGCCGCCUGCCGCCACUGCCGCGGCCGGAGGCGAGAUCACUGACCUCCACCGUCCUCCUCCAGCCGAGGGUAAUCUGCUGAUUGAGUUGGUGCGGGAGUUGUUGGGCACAGCCAGGUACGAGGAGGACUUCCUCCCCGCCGCCGCUGGACUACCUCCUCCCCCCGGUCGCCUCCGCCGCUGCGGCAUCUCCUCCGAGGACGCCGCGUUUUGGCGAGCCGAAGCGCUUGUACCAAUGCAGUUUCAGUUAUUGCGCAAUCGGCGACGACCUAAUGCAUACUUGCGUCGGAAGAAUUUACUGCUGCCAUCUUCCGAUGAUGCUGCCCGUAAUGGCAAUGGUAACAGUAUUGCCAUGGCUCAUCAAUCCCAGGGGAGUUGCCAUUGGGAGACUCUUGAAAUAUAUUUGGAGAAAUACAAAGAUUUGCAUCCGAGGUUGCCUGUCAUUGUUGCGGAAACACUUCUUUACACAGACCCUGAGAUUGAGCUACCACUUUGGCUAGUCCAGAUGUUUAAGUUACACCAAGGCUG